AGUGCCCUGGACCCUCGGCUGGGUAGCGCCACCAGAGCGACCAAACGUCCCGCGCCUUCCAGGCCGCACUCCAGAGCCAAAAGAGCUCCAUGGCGGCGGCGGCCAAGCCCAACAACCUUUCCCUGGUGGUGCACGGACCGGGGGACUUGCGCCUGGAGAACUAUCCUAUCCCUGAACCAGGCCCAAAUGAGGUCUUGCUGAGGAUGCAUUCUGUUGGAAUCUGUGGCUCAGAUGUCCACUACUGGGAGUAUGGUCGAAUUGGGAAUUUUAUUGUGAAAAAGCCCAUGGUGCUGGGACAUGAAGCUUCGGGAACAGUCGAAAAAGUGGGAUCAUCGGUAAAGCACCUAAAACCAGGUUGGAAAACAAAGAACCAGACCAAAGAGCGGGCAGACUCUGCUCCCACCCUCGGACAUGGUGCCAUCUUUGUUUUCCUCUCCAGGUGAUCGUGUUGCCAUCGAGCCUGGUGCUCCCCGAGAAAAUGAUGAAUUCUGCAAGAUGGGCCGAUACAAUCUGUCACCUUCCAUCUUCUUCUGUGCCACGCCCCCCGAUGACGGGAACCUCUGCCGGUUCUAUAAGCACAAUGCAGCCUUUUGUUACAAGCUUCCUGACAAUGUCACCUUUGAGGAAGGCGCCCUGAUCGAGCCACUUUCUGUGGGGAUCCAUGCCUGCAGGAGAGGCGGAGUUACCCUGGGACACAAGGUCCUUGUGUGUGGAGCUGGGCCAAUCGGGAUGGUCACUUUGCUCGUGGCCAAAGCAAUGGGAGCAGCUCAAGUAGUGGUGACUGAUCUGUCUGCUACCCGAUUGUCCAAAGCCAAGGAGAUUGGGGCUGAUUUAGUCCUCCAGAUCUCCAAGGAGAGCCCUCAGGAAAUCGCCAGGAAAGUAGAAGGUCAGCUGGGGUGCAAGCCGGAAGUCACCAUCGAGUGCACGGGGGCAGAGGCCUCCAUCCAGGCGGGCAUCUACGCCACUCGCUCUGGUGGGAACCUCGUGCUUGUGGGGCUGGGCUCUGAGAUGACCACCGUACCCCUACUGCAUGCAGCCAUCCGGGAGGUGGAUAUCAAGGGCGUGUUUCGAUACUGCAACACGUGGCCAGUGGCGAUUUCGAUGCUUGCGUCCAAGUCUGUGAAUGUAAAACCCCUCGUCACCCAUAGGUUUCCUCUGGAGAAAGCUCUGGAGGCCUUUGAAACAUUUAAAAAGGGAUUGGGGUUGAAAAUCAUGCUCAAGUGUGACCCCAGUGACCAGAAUCCCUGAUGUUAAUGGGCUCUGCCCUCAUCCCCACAGUCUUGGGAUCUCAGGGCACAAUGGCUGGACAUGGGUGGGCUCUGAUGCAGAACUUUCUCUUUUGAAUGUUAAGAAUAACUAAUACAAUUCAUUGUGAACAGAAGUCCUUAAGCAGAGGAAUUGGUGUGCCUUAAAGAUACAAUCUGGGAUAGUUUGGGGGAACUUGUAGCCAGAAUGCCCUGUUCAUGCUGAGCAAAGUUCAGCAAGUAGAGCAGAGUUUGGCAGGCAGGUGCCAGGAACUCCCCUUCUUCCUGGAGUGCCUUCAUUGAGGAAGGAAAUCUGGCCCUUGGGUUUCCUGGUUCCACUGCUACUGACCCAGAGGGGAAUGAGGGCUGAGUUAUGAAAAGAUAACUUCAUGAAGACUUAACUGGCCCAGAAGCUGAUUUUCAUGAAAAUCUGCCACUCAGGGUCUGGGAUGAAGGCUUGUCAGCACUUCCAGUUUAGAACGCAAUGUUUCUAGAGACAUAUUGGCUGUUUGUUUUGAUGAUAAAAGGAGAAUAAGAAAAGGCAUCACUUUCCUGGAUCCAGGAUAAUUUUUAAACCAAUCAAAUGAAAAAAACAAACAAACAAAAAAGGAAAUGUCAUGUGAGGUUAAACCAGUUUGCAUUCCCCUAAUGUGGAAAAAGUAAGAGGACUACUCAGCACUGUUUGAAGAUUGCCUCUUCUACAGCUUCUGAGAAUUGUGUUAUUUCACUUGCCAAGUGAAGGACCCCCUCCCCAACAUGCCCCAGCCCACCCCUAAGCAUGGUCCCUUGUCACCAGGCAACCAGGAAACUGCUACUUGUGGACCUCACCAGAGACCAGGAGGGUUUGGUUAGCUCACAGGACUUCCCCCACCCCAGAAGAUUAGCAUCCCAUACUAGACUCAUACUCAACUCAACUAGGCUCAUACUCAAUUGAUGGUUAUUAGACAAUUCCAUUUCUUUCUGGUUAUUAUAAACAGAAAAUCUUUCCUCUUCUCAUUACCAGUAAAGGCUCUUGGUAUCUUUCUGUUGGAAUGAUUUCUAUGAACUUGUCUUAUUUUAAUGGUGGGUUUUUUUUCUGGUAAGAUUUAGACCUAAAUCGCAUCAUGCCAACUUGUGACUUUGAGACUAUUCAUCAAGAAUGAGGAUAUAGUAGCCAUGACAUAGCUUGAGCUAUAGCCUUUAAUUCCUUACUUUGGCUAUGGGUGGAGGGUGAGUUUGAAGAGGUUCUGAUUUUCUUGUAACCUGGGAAAGCCAUGACCUUGUGCCCGAUUCUUUCAGAUUGCUUUGGGUAAUAAAUAUUGGUGGUGGUAUCUGACUCAUGCUGCUGUUUAUGGUCCUGUUUAGUGGGGAAUGGACUCAGGUUACCCAUUUCCCAGAGGGAAGGAUCCCAGGAUUUUUGAAGGUUACAUAUUUUCUGUACCAAAUAUAAUUUCAUUGACAUGAAUUAUCUCUAAUCCUCAUGACAAGCCACAUACACAAUCAUUUUGUAGAUAAAGAAGAUAUAAAUGCCAGAGGAGACCUUAAGAUUGUCUUACAACACAACCCUUCAGUUAACGAGAGAGGAAAUUGAGGCUCAGAUUGGGGAAGUGACUUGGCAAAUCACACAGUGGGUUAGUCAAUGGCCCAGGAUUAGACAGAACCCAGGAAUCCUGACAUCAAAUCCUUUACAACAUGCUGCCUCUCAUAGGCCUGAGGUGUCCAGUCCUAGAGGACAAAUGAUGCUCCCCAUGCCACCACCCCCACCAAGCAGCUCCUACUGAUGAGAAGAUGCACUAAGCAGUCUUGGUGGAAACAUCUUCCUCACGCCCUGUGCCCCCUUUCAGGUGCCCAGAGAAGGAGCUCCAGUGUCUGCUUCAGCCAGGGCUUUAAGAGAGAAGGAAGCUGGGAGUGAGGGGCAGAGGCUCUACCAGAGAAUGUCUGCUGGUGUCUUGGAGGCACUUCCUGCAGCCUAUGCAUGCCUCGUGAAGCCAUUUCACUGCUGCCCCUUCAUCCUCCUCCUCCCUGAGCCCUAGGUAGAAGUCAGUGUGUGGAGGAGGCCACCCAGAGAUGACCCUGACCAGGCCCCACCGCCUGUAGCCAGACCCAGCCUCUGUCCCAGCUGGCUGCUAAUUUCUGAGCAUUUCUUCCCUGUUAUUUGGCCUCUGUACCUUGAACCUAGGUUGACAUCAUGAGCAGAGGACAGUUCUUAGGAAAGGCAAAUAUCCCAUAAAUCCUAUUUGCCUCUCUUUCUCCUAACCUCUGGCUCCACCAACUCCCCAACAGGCCUCCUGCACACACAAUAGGAGUCAGGAGGGAGGAGGCAGGACUGUGCUACACAAGGGAGACUGGGUGGGGAAGAUGUCAGAGAACCAGUGACUGAGUGCAGAGGUGACUUCACACCAGCAUCUGCUGUAGCCAGAGGUGGGCUGCAAGAGGGAAUUAGAGGAGCCAACAUGUCCUCUUUCUCCUUUAGGGUCCAUGGAGCAGUCCGCUGCUUCCAGGUUGCCUGUGGGGUCCUUCCCAGCUCUCCGCCCUGACACGUCUUCACUCCCUAGCACUCGUGGAGCUGACUGGGUGGGGACCUCAGUGUUGACUGAAAGCGUGAAUCAAGUGCCAGGCACUGGUGACAGAGCACACAGAGGCUGCUGGGCCUCCCAAGGUCGGGGAGCUUGUGGGGAAUUCACAUUCUUGGUUCCGGGACUGAUUCACUGAGUCAAUCAAUAUUGAUUGAGCACUUAGUUGGUUGUGGUGGUGGUAGGAAUGAAUUCCUGGGCUUCCUGCAGCCCCUUUCCAUGAAUCUAUACAUAUCAAACAUGUGCAUGCAUUUGUAAACAUUAAUGGGAGUGUACUUUACUUUUUUCAUUUUACUCAUAAACAGACGAGGACUUUAAAAAAAUCACAAUUAUUAAAUAAUUCCCAUUACUAUACCUGACAAAACUAAUAAUAAUUUCAUAAUAGCUAAUACCCCGUCAAUCCAUGCCAUAUUUUCCCUCAUCUAAAAAACAGAAAAAAUUACUUUUUUUUCCCCCAAAGACAGGGUCUUGAUCAGAGCUCACUGCAAUAUCAAACUCCUGGGUUCAAGUGAUCCUCCUGUCUCAGCCUCUGGAGUAGCUGGGAUUAUAGGCAUGCACCACCAUGCCUGGCUACUUUUUGUAGAGAAAAAAAUUUAAAAAGGUCUCACUAUGUGGCCCAGAGUGUUCUUGAAUUCCUGGCCUCAAGCAAUCUUCCUGCCUCAGUUUCCCAAAGCACUGAGAUUACAGGCAUGAGCCACCAUGCCCAGCCAAAACUUUACUUUUUUACACUUGCUUUUCUGGAAUCAGGAUCUAAACAUAUUGCAUGCGGUUGAUAUAUUAAGCCUGUUUUAUUUUUUAUUUUUUCUUCUUUCUUAAGCCUCUUUAUUAUAGUUCCCCCUACAUUUUGGUUCACAUGCCACUGUUAUGUUGAAGAAACUGGGUCCUUUGUCUUCUGGAUACCGUUUUACAAACAUACUUGUUUUCAUUUAAUAAAUGGCUAAAUUUCUUUCUAUGUCAAUAAUUAUACACAUCAUUAUUUUAAAUCACCACAUCCCAUUGUGUGGAUAGACUAUCAUUUAUAAAGCAAAUUGCAGUAUUUUGAGUGUUUGGAUAGUUUACAGAGUUUUGCUCUAAUAAUAAAGUUGCAAUGACAACCCUUGUUGCAUA